UUUCGCCCGAACUGCCUCGCUCCCGCAAAAUAAAACGUUUCGGGCUUUCUUUCCUCCUCCACCACGAGAUAACAUAAGGGUUCGAGAGAGGAGAGCGGCACCUGGUAGAUCGACGACGGCGCCCUGGCAGAUCCACCAUGGCGGCGUAGGUAUGGUCGCCGCCUUCCUUUACCUUCUCCCUCUGCCGUCGUUCCUUCCCCUCUUCUGAUGCCACCGCGAGCUGGUUCUCUCCGGCCCUGCUCACCGCAACCAGAUCCGGUAUGAUGCCGAUGGAGGCAGUCCCCUCUGGUGCCGACCCUUCCUUUCCUUCCUGACAGUGUGGUGGCCCACUACCAGUGCACAUCUCUUCUCCCUCGGACCACCUCCUAAGCCGCCCCAUCUUCUCUGGCCGCAGUGGCCCUGCCGCCGAAACCUUCUUCCCUAGCUCCAAACAGCGCCCCUUUUGCUCCAUCCUUCUUCCCUAGCUCUAGCCAACCCCUUCUUCCUUCAUCCCUCUUCCCUAGCUCCAGACAGCCCUGCUCUAUUUCUUAUUCUUCUCUCCCCAUGUCCUUUUGUUCUCUUGUCCGAUUAAAAUAAAAUUUUACUUUUGUUCUCAAUCAUUUGCUGACCACUGAUGUAUAUUCUUGUUGCAAGUUGGAUUAAUAAUUGGAAGCCCGUUAGGCCGAUAUGAGGUAUGGAGGUUUACAAUUUUGUGAACCAAUAUGCUUGUAGUGGUCUGAUGCAUAUGCUUAUGUGUUAUAUGAUGGAUAUGAUGCAUGCUGGUCAUGCACUUUUGUGAACCAAUAUGCUUGUGGUGGUCUGAUGCAUAUGGUCAUGUACUUUAUGUCGAAUGAUGCAUGGUUAUAUUGAAAUUAGCCCAAAUUUAACAUGAUAUAUGUGCAUUGUAGUUGCAUCAUGUCACAAAUGGAUUUGAUUCCUUCCUUUACCGAAGAGAACAAGAGAAGAAAAAGGAAAAUGAUCAUAUUGACAGCGAUGUAUGUUGAGUCGGUUUGUCUUGGCCUAGCUAGCUUAUCUUAGUACGCAAAGAGUACAGAAGUGUUUGGGAUGCUUUAGUGACGAGGAGCUUCGAUAUGUUCAUAAGAAGUACUUGCUGAAAGAAAUGUACAAAUGGGCCAGAAGUAACUUGCUAUGAUGAGUUGUGCUUAACUAAAAGAAAUUUCCAUGAUCAGUGCACGAUGUUGCGUACGAAGUGUGCUAUGAAAGAUAGCGUAUAUGUCACUGUCGAAGAAAAGUUUGCCAUGUUCUUAUUUGUGACUGGACAUAGUAUCAAAAUGAGAUGUUGCAUGGCACUUACAAGCAUUCUUUGGAGACUAUUAGUAGGCACUUAUCGAAUGUGUUAACAGCUAUCCUUUCCCUAAGUGCGGAGUUUAUCAAGCUUCCUGAUCAUUCUACUGAACCUCUGGAUGAUUACAAAUGGAAGUGGUUUGGCAAUGCCUUGGGAGCACUAGAUGGGUCAUGUUCAUGUUUCUGUCAUUGCAGCUGACGAAGGGAGGUAUAGGAACGAAAAGCAAGCUAUCAGCACUAACAUUCUAGGUGUUGUUGACUGGAACAUGAAUUUUCUUUAUGUUUUACCUAGCUGGGAGGGAUCUACAUCCGAAUCCCAAGUGUUGCGUGAUGCAAUGAGAAACGAUCAUCAAGAUGCAUUUGUUAUACCUCAUGGAAAAUACUACUUAGUGGAUGCUGGAUACACCAAUGGACCUAGCUUUCUGGCUCCCUUUAGAUCGACUAGAAUAUCCAUAUCAAACGGAAUCCAAACGGGAUAAAAACGGACGGAGCUUAUUUUUUGGAAUAUUUGGCAAAUUCUGAAAGAAAAAUCCACGCGAG